CUGGGAAAGGGAAGGAUUGAUCCAGUUUUUUCUAGUGGAGUGGGAGGAGCACGUGGCAGUCAGCUGGGGAAGACAGCUGAGCCUGGUUCUGCCCACCUACUGCCCUCCCGCUGGCUGGCAGUAAAGGAGCCAGCCGCGCCCAGGCCCUGGCUUGCAGCGCUGUUGAUCACCUGACAGGGGACUCGCUGCUUUGCUGUCAGCCAGUUUGAAAUCUGAUGACGCUAGAACCACGAAGCAGAGGAAGGCCAUCAAACACCCGGAAGAAAUUCUGCCGGACUAGGAAGCCGCUGGGUACGCUGAUUGAGAUCAUGGAGUUGGGCUGGGGAGCUGUCCUGUACAACGACGCUGAGCUGAGGAACCUCCUGGACAACUUCCAGAAGCUGUUCUCCCAGCCUGCUCUGCCUCUCCAGGCUACACCUUCACUACGGUUACAAAAAUGAACACAAGAACAAUUAUUUCCUAAUUUGGAAAGGAUCACCUGAUACUUCUAUAUCCACUGGUGGAACACCUGUAUGGUCAUAGGCUCAUGCUGAUUAAAAUGUUGGAGGAGGGCUGGCACUGUGGCAUACAAGGCUAAGCCUCUGCCUACGGCACUAGAAUCCCAUAUGGGCACCAGUUCGAGUCCCAGCUGUUCCACUUCCAAUCCAGCUCUCUGUCAUGGCCUGGGAACACAGUGGAAAGUACCUGGACCCCUGCCCUCACAUGGAAGACUCUGAAGAAGCUCCUGGCUCCUGGCUUUGGAUUGGCACAGCUCUGGCCAUUGAGGCCAUCUGGGGAGUGAACCAGAAGACAGAAGACCUUUCUCUCUGUCUCUCUUUCUCUCUGUCUAUAACUCUGCCUCUCAAAUAAAGUCUUUUUUUUAAAAUGUUA